GGGGGGAGGUCGGGUCCUGGGCUGUGUCCCGGCACCCUGUGCUCCCGGGCCUGUGCUGUUGGAUUCGUGCUCCCAUUGGCGCAGCCCCCU
rfam:Canis lupus familiaris chromosome X, whole genome shotgun sequence.